GAUCCGUAAGCCCGGAUCUUCAUCAGUGCUAAUAAUAUAUAUAUAUAUAUAUAUAUAUAUAUAUAUAUAUAUAUAUAUAUAUAUAUAUAUAUAUAUAUAUAUAUAUAUAUAUGCAUAUUAUUAGCACAUGAUGAAGAUCCGGGCUUACGGAUC